AAAUCUGAGAUUAUUAUACUGUUUGGCCCUCACCAUGCCAGAGUUCAGAUUGAAAACGAGCAUGGUCCACUGGCCGCUAGUUUAAAGCCAUCUGUGAGAAACCUUGAUGUCUUAUUUCACCCAGACCUCAAUUUAGAGCUCCAGCUAAAGAAAGCAAUCUGAUCUUGCUGCUAUCUUUUUAGAACAAAAAUGCUAAAAUCAAGUCUUUUGUGUCUGUCACUGAUAGUGAAAGUUCAUUCUUUUUAUUUCUUCUUGCCUCAAUUAUUGUACUUCUUUGAUCACCUGUCUCAACCAGAAAUCUCUCCAUCAUCUUCAUUAAGCACACAAUGCUGCUGCUCGACUCUUAAUAAGCACCAUAAAAUUAGACCGUAUUAUGCCUAUCCCAGCAUUUUUGCACUGGCUUUCCAGUCGAUAAAUUAUGUUCGACAAACGAAGACGUCCAAACGGCGUCUAAAAGGUUCAGUGAAUGUAUCGACAACAUUUCACCGUACCAGAGACAAUCGACUUUUCUGUUAUCGACCCCCCAUUCCUUACAAUUUAAUAGGCAUUCUACUGUAGGCUGAUUACAUUUAGAGCAAUCUGAUGCAUCUGAUCGACACUACAAAGGUAUGUCGGGACGGGGGAGAAAUUGGGAAGACGAGGAAACAAAAGCAUUGCUUGUCAUUUGGUCGGAUAGUAAAAUACAACGGAAGCUUGGAGGGAUGCGAAAUGCGGCAGCUUAUCGGGAUAUAAGUGGACGGCUGGCAGCCAUGGGUUUCUGUCGCACUGUCGACCAGGUACGACGUAAAGUUAAAUUGAUGAGGUGUGAAUUCAAAAAAGCCACAGACCACAACAUAGGAAGCGGAUCUCGCGGGAAAAUGUGUAGAUUUUACAGAGAGCUAUCUGAUAUAUUAAGCAGCACAGCGGAUAUGAAUGUGCCGCAGGGUUCUGUGUCACCAGCACCGGCUUAUUUCACCUCAAGUCCUGAAAGCAGCUUCAUAAUAAAGGAAGAGCCUACUUCUGAAGACGAGGAGGAUGUGAAAAAAAUGAAUGAGCCCUCAAUCAGUGCAGAUUCUUCAAGUCUAAUGGGAAAUGUAACCUCCAGCAAUGUAACUUUUCAAGGAGACACAACAUCAACAUCUGGUACAGCCCAGAGAAAAGAAUGCAAAGGCACAGUCUGUGAGGUUUUGAGUCAGCUGGCUGAUUUCGAUGCCAAAUUCCUCCAGCUUCAACAAGAAAAGUUUGCCUUUGAGCAAAAAAUGAGAAAACAGGAACUGGAGUUCCAGAGACAGGAGCUGGAGUACCACAAAGAGCUCACAAACAUAUUAUCUAAACUUGCAGAAAAACUUGACCUGCCUUAAAUGGAUUUACAGUAAGAACAACUGUCAGCAAUAUCCUUUCAAUCAUGAUUUUUUAAAUGAUUUUGGGACUCUCAUGUGGGUAUUGUACAUAAAUCCUGUUUGAUAUUUUUGUUAACAUAACAUAACACAACAUAACAUAAUUUCGAGAACAGGCCAUUCAGCCCCACAAUUCACUAAAUUGGUGCUCUGAUUACCUACUGACUAGAUCGUAUAUUGUUUUUAUCCUUUGACUGUAAGUGUACCAUAGAUCAUGAGAAUGUGUUCUUUUAAAUGAAGUAAUUUAGGGCUCUUUAAGCACGCUGUCACUAAAGGAGAAUGUGGCCAUAAGGAGAAUGUGAGUGAUUGGUAAAGUUCACAUUAACAACAUUUUCAAGUUAUUUUCAAAUGGAAUAAUACAUGUUCUCAAAACUUUAAAAAGUUUAAAGUUUGAGACAUAACUACAGUAAUUUUAAAUAUAGUUAACUACUUGUUUUGUGGUUACACUGAAUCUUCUUUUUUUAUUGCAUCUUUAA